UACAGAGGUCUCAAGCGUUGUUCGGAUUCAUUGGGCGUAAAGGGUGCGUAGGCGGCGCGGUAAGUCGCGUGUGAAAGCCCCCGGCUCAACUGGGGAGGGUCACGCGAUACUGGUCGACUCGAAGGCAGGAGAGGGUAGUGGAAUUCCCGGUGUAGUGGUGAAAUGCGUAGAUAUCGGGAGGAACACCAGUGGCGAAGGCGACUACCUGGCCUGUUCUUGACGCUGAGGCGCGAAAGCUAGGGGAGCAAACGGG
rnacentral:rRNA from 1 species